UGGGCUAAUAGUGACAGGAAGAUUAAUUUUACAAAUAUUAACACGUUAGAGAUAGUUAUAGUAACAUUCUAAAGUGUCAAUUCCAACUCAAGCACAAUAGUAGAUCAAUUCAAGACAAUAUAUUGUAAACUGAAGUCAAAUAACACAAACUCAUUAGGCGAGCUAGCUAACUGUACCCGCGGUGCUAUUUAACAAUAAUGGUUACGCUCAAUAAAGACAAAAUACCAACCUCACGUUCAUGUUGCCAAUAUCCAGUAUUAAAAAAAAGAAAGAAAAAGGUCCUCCCCAAAGGCGAGACGAAAAUUCUGCCUUUUAAAGCACUGUGGUUGCCCCUCUUAGUUUCCGCGUUCGUUUGUCGACACAAAUCGGCUUUUGAAAUUUGCAACGUCAGGACGCCUGGGCUCUUAUGGGCUGAGUGGGGUAACGUCACGCGCAAGACGUACGUGCGUAGCUCUUGCUCAUUUUUGAAAGCCGCAUGAUUUAUUUAUAUAAACAGUCGUAGCUAAUUGUGUGAAUAAUAACGCUAUGCUAAUAUGGAGGUACGCAUACCACCAGUAAACUAGGUCCGAGAACUUUUUCCCCAUUGAAAAUGAAUGGGUAAUUUUUUAAAAUUCAAUGUUUUUUUUCAAUUUCUCAGCCUAUUCUGACCGCAUCCACGACAGAAUGCUGAAAUCCGGUGUGGGGAUUUUCUUUGAAGAUUCCCUCGGUGCCACUGUAGUGGCUUUUUGAAGUGAACAUCACAGGCGUCUUUUUUACAAUUAUGGCGAAACCUCCUCCAUUUGGUGGAUGGGGUUAGGGUAAGGGUUAAGGCAAAGUCCAAAUGAACAACUCUAUCAGGACAUUUAGCGUUCCUGGUAAUGUGUGCUUACUAGCAUGCUAACAUUGGCAUUUUUUUUUGCUGUUUUUUUUUUUUACUAGUAUUUAAAUAUGAAGAGACUUAGCACUACUAUGCUAGGUAUUGCAUACUAACACUAGUAGCAAUGUUACAAAAUAUUGACAUUUGUAAAAUCAAGUCUGUGAUUAAUUUUAUCAAAUAAAACAUUACUUGAACUUUAAUUUGAUAUACCUCAUUCACAUACAACUUAAAGGGGACCUAUUAUUUUUUUGGCCCUUUGUAUUGAGUUGUGGACUCCUAUAGAGCAGUUACACAUGAUAAACAGCACAGAAAACUCUCUAGAUCUUCCAGAAUCUGCACCUUUUCCAGUUGUAUUUCUUUGGAAAAUGGUUUUAAUUUAUUCCACCCAUGGCCCGCCUCCAAGCAUGCCUACUCACACUUCAGAGUGCUUAGGAGGACAUUCGGUGUUGUGCCGCUAGCUGCGAACCCAACUUUACAGGAGUUGAUAAAUGGUAUAGGAGUUGGUCUUUUUACAAUGUCCACUUGUAACAUACAGCCAUACGUGUUGGAUCCGGAAGUAGAGACUGGACAGUCUGAAGGUUACUUCAAGAUGACUCUCAAUGGUUUGUUGUGGGACUACCAGUGUUCAGGUACCCCCACUGAUUGUGGGAAAUGGCAAUCAGCACCUCCAGAUUCGGUUUUCGUAAACAGAGUACGAGCGGAGAUUCGAACCCAGGUGCUAACCACUCAACGGCGUAGAAGUGGUUAGCAUGCAGACCUCACAGCCAGGAGACCUGAGUUCAAUCCCACCCUCGGCCAUCUCUGUGUGGAGUUUGCAUGUUCUCCCCGUGCAUGCGUGGGUUUUCUCCGGGUACUCCGGUUUCCUCCCUCAUUCCAAAAACAUGCAUGAAAAACACCUAGCAUGUUCUAAAAAGGUUAAUGGGCGACUCCAAAUUGUCAUGGCAUGAAUGUGAGUGUGAAUGGUUGUUUGUCUAUAUGUGCCCUGUGAUUGGCUGGCGACCAGUCCAGGGUGUACCCAACCUCUCGCCCGAAGACAGCUGGGAUAGGCUCCAGCACCCCCUGCGACCCUCGUGAGGAUAAGCGGUAGAAAGUGAAUGAAUGACUGUUUAUACAUGCGAUACACUGGCUACUCUAAAGUAUUCAAGUUGUAUUUCUAUAGUAUUGCCCCAUGGGAAGCUGAAAUGUGACUAAUUACUGUUGGGAGAUACUGUCUCGUAGUAUUCGCAAGACCAUUACUCUAAUAAUAAUUCUGCUGUCUUUAAAUUGGAUUACACUUACUUUCUUUCUUAAUGGAUGGAAGGCUGUGGUGUUCAGAUACAUCCUCUCCUUCUGAUACUUCAAGAGGGGGGCUGAAACCUCUUUGUUCCUCUUCUGAGUAGUAGUGGGCAGGCGAGGCAGACGUCUGGUACUGAUAGUAUACCGAUGGGGUGUAAUUUGAGAUCUAAUAAGAUACAAUGUAAACAUGUUAUGGGUUUACACAAAGAAGUGACAGUCUCUAUAGUAUAAUGUAUUAGUAUGCAGAAUUAUGAUGCAGAUUAUAAUUGUCAAGUUUCAUCUGUGAAAGUGAGAAGAACAAUUCAAAAAGUAACCUAUAAAUGUUUAGAUUUUGGUCACAUAAUUGAAAAACACUAUGAUAUGGGGCCUUUCAAUUCAGUAAGUAAUGGUAAUGGUAAUGGUUUUAUUUCAUUUGAACAUGCAUCAGAUUACAAUUAAAUGCAUCACAUAAUCAGUUCACAGUUCCACAUGUCCAAAAGGAGUAGGAAGAAGCAAAGCUUAUUAAAUCCUACCCCUCCAUCUGGUACUUUUACAAUCAGUAACUGUUACAUUUGUUCACUUCCUGCUUUCCUAAGCAGAUUUUUUUUAAAAUCAUGUACCGAAGUACAAGGUGAUAUGACCAUACAAUGACAUAAUGGGUACUUAAGUAAGUAUUUAACUGUACAUAGUAUCUUUGGAGCUGACAUAUACUGUAUGCAUAAAACGAUUAUAUGGUCAAAAUACGCAUUUGCCUAAUAAUUGUGUACACAGCGUAUUCAGUGUCAUGUUUGUUUAUUCAUUGUGAUAAAAGCGGAUGUAACGGACAUUGUGACAUUUCACUUGAUCCUUUUCUUUCUUUGCCCUGUGUGUGUGUGUGUGUGUGUGACAGACGUCUUUCCUGAAGUCAAACUUUUAAGCCCAGCACAGCCUUGCGUGAGAUCAUUCAUCUUAUAAAGA